UCGUUUUCCACCGGAAGGAGGGAGAAAUUGCGACCGAGAGCCGGACACCUGAUGCUGGCGGCUUUUGUCUCUCAAAGUUGGGACAGUAUUUGGCCACCUUGUGCGGCGGGUGACUGUGGUGUCUCGGUAUGUAGCUGACGUGGCCAGCGUCCCAGGAAUGGGAGAAGAGAUGGGAACCUGCAGGCUGAUGGCUGUUCUGCAUCCACUUCCCUUCUCUGUUUAAAAUGCCCAUGAGUUUUGAGUUGAUGGGUGAGUACUCAAAAACACAUGCCGUUACUGACUGGAGUCGUUAUACAAGUAGGUAUAUGCAUUUUCUGAAAGCAGAGAGCAGUUGUUUCCAUGCUUGGAUCCUUCAGAGAUCAUGCAGCCACCACCAUGCCUUAGAUGUGUGUAAUUCAAAUAGAGAAGACACAAGCCAGUGGUCUCAAUAUCAACCCUUGAGUGUCCUGUAAAUGAUUUAUCAGAAGUUGCAGCCGAACAUGGCCAUGAGGUAAUCCCUGCCCCUGGUUGAAAGUUAGUUUCAUCAGCUUCUCCAUGGGAUUGUAAGGACUUGGAGUGUGUCACAAAACCCAGCAGGGUUCCCCCCCCCUUUUUUUUUUUUAAGAUUUAUUUUGUCUUUCUGAAGAUAACAUGCUUAAACAGAGUUCUUUAUGGUUAGUAACUAUGAUGCUUGAAGUUGGUUAUCCCUUAUUCCAGUAAACUUUAAAUGUCAAAGCUAUAGGUAUCUUGUUAAAUAAAAAAAUGUAUCAAAA